GUCUCUCUCUCCCUCUGUGUCUGCUAGCCGCCUCCCCUGCCCGCCGUCUUCCUCACCCACCCCCUUUCUCCGUCUCCCUCGUCCCCGCACCUCCAUUCGGCCUCGGUUGCCUCGACGGAUUGCUGGGGCUGUGGGAAGAGGAAAGGAUAUCGCGAGUAUUGGAGUUUUGGUGAGAGUUUGUGGAAGAUGGCGCCUGUUGUGACAGGGAAGUUUGGGGAGCGCCCUCAGCCACAGCGCCUAACCAGAGAAGCCAUGAGGAACUACCUAAAGGAGCGAGGGGACCAAACUGUUAUGAUCCUGCAUGCAAAAGUUGCACAGAAAUCCUAUGGCAAUGAGAAAAGGU